CCUACGGGAGGCAGCAGUGGGGAAUAUUGCACAAUGGGGGAAACCCUGAUGCAGCAACGCCGCGUGAGUGAAGAAGUAUUUCGGUAUGUAAAGCUCUAUCAGCAGGGAAGAAAAUGACAGUACCUGACUAAGAAGCCCCGGCUAACUACGUGCCAGCAGCCGCGGUAAUACGUAGGGGGCAAGCGUUAUCCGGAUUUACUGGGUGUAAAGGGAGCGUAGAUGGCUGCGCAAGUCAGAAGUGAAAGCCCGGGGCUCAACCGCGGGACUGCUUUUGAAACUGUGUAGCUAGAGUGCAGGAGAGGUAAGUGGAAUUCCUAGUGUAGCGGUGGAAUGCGUAGAUAUUAGGAGGAACACCGGUGGCGAAGGCGGCUUACUGGACUGUAACUGACGUUGAGGCUCGAAAGCGUGGGGAGCAAACAGGAUUAGAUACCCGUGUAGUC
rnacentral:rRNA from 1 species